UGGUUCUUAUUAUGCUUAGAUGACUUAAUGUCAUUUAUAAGAAAUUUGUAUGUUUUUUGCAUUAAAGGAAUUUUUUUCAAUUCAAAUUGAAUGUUCAACUCUUUAUUGAAUAUCCUGGUAUUGCUUGAGUUUCUAGCUGAACUGAUCUAUGUGAAAAAUCAGUGCAAGGAGAGAAAAAGCGAGAGGAAAACAGAGGAAGAAACUUGUUCAUUGGUUCAACGAAGCUUGUUUUUUUUUUCUUUUUCUUUUUCAUAGAAGUAUACUGUGGCAUUUUUUUCUUUCAUUAUAUUAUAUUUGGAUCAUCAUAUGAAAAAUUUUAUCUAUUGAGUUGUUGCUUUUAGACAUAAAAUCAUUGUUUUGCUUGCUGAUUUUAGAAAUUUGAGUCUUCAAUAAAAGCCUAAUGUAUACUUUCACUCAUUGUUUUGCUUGCUGAUUUUAGGAAUUUGAGUCUUCAAUAAAAGUCUAAGGUAUACUUUCACUCAGAUUUGCCUAAGGUAUAAAAGGCACAUACAUAUUUAGAUGGAUACUGUAAUUUCACAAGCUCAAGUGACAUUUGGUUCUCUGUUCUUUGGUUUUUCAUGUAUAUGAGCAUUUCUCUGAUUUUUUUUUUUAUUUUGGUUUUAUAGAACUACCUGGUGCAACAUCAGUAGAUGCUUAAGGUGAGGCCCAAUAUUUAACCAAUGAGAUGUUCAAGAAACCAUUUCUGAGAUUUUCAACAACUUUCUUUUGAUUGGAAAAUCGGAGUAGUCCUGUCUUGCAUUAUCUGAAGCUCCAGAACCAAGCUCAAGAUAAGGAUGAGAAACUUAAUUGAUUCAACAAGUGAAGUGCAAAAGAAAAUCUGAUUUGGAAGGCUUUGGUGUGCUGGCAUUUGGAAGAUCAUGAAUUACUACCUUUACUUUUGAAUAUGCAAUUGUUUAAGACUAUUUUGUUUACUAUUGUGAGAAUGUUUUGUUUAUGUUAAUUAGGCAGUGUUGAAUAUCACAAGACUUUUGGAUUAUUUUUUAGAUAAUCUUGAAUGUAUUUUGACACAAUUAUUUGGUUAUACGUGUUAUGAACUAUAUAAUUGGUACU